rnacentral:rRNA from 1 species
AUUGACCGCUGGCGGCAGGCUUAACACAUGCAAGUCGAACGAGUGCCGGACGGGUGAGUAAUGUCCGGGAAACUCCCUGUUGGCGGUGGAUACCUACUGGCAACGGUAGCUAAUACCGCAUACCCUCGGAUGUUCCCAGAUGGGAUUAGCUAGUAGUUGGGGUAAUGGCUCACCUACGCGACGAUCCCUAGCUGGUCGGCGGGGAUGACCAGCCAAAAUGGAACGGAGACACGGUCCAGACUCCUAAGGGAGGCAGCGGUGGGGAAUAUUGCACAAUGGGCGCAAGCCUGAUGCAGCCAUGCCGCGUGUAUGAAGAAGGCCUGCGGGUUGUAAAGUACUUGCAGCGGGGAGGCGUUACCAGCAGAAGAAGCACCGGCUAACUCCGUGCCAGCAGCCGCGGUAAUAC